rnacentral:misc_RNA from 1 species
GCAAACUUGGUCAUUUAGAGGAAGUAAAAGUCGUAACAAGGUUUCCGUAGGUGAACCUGCGGAAGGAUCAUUAUCGAAUAAACUUGUGUGGGUUGUGCUGACCCUCUCGGGGGUAAGUGCACAUCUGCCAUUGUUUCAUUCAUCCCUUCCACCUGUGCACUUUCUGUAGACCCAUGCUGUCACCUUUCAGCUGCCCCACCGUGGCUUCUGGUGUGAGGACAUGCUCUUGCUGUCCUUGGACGGUGUGUGGUCUAUGUCUUUUAUCAACCCAUAGUAUGUCAUUGAAUGUUUGUUGGGUUCUCUACACAGACCCAUAAAAAUCCAUACAACUUUCAACAACGGAUCUCUUGGCUCUCGCAUCGAUGAAGAACGCAGC